rnacentral:rRNA from 1 species
UACGUAGGGGCCUAGCGUUGUCCGGAUUUAUUGGGCGUAAAGAGCUCGUAGGCGGUUUGGUGAGUCGGGUGUGAAAUCUCCACGCUCAACGUGGAGGGGCCACCCGAUACUGCCAUGACUAGAGUCCGGUAGGGGAGUGUGGAAUUCCCGGUGUAGCGGUGAAAUGCGCAGAUAUCGGGAGGAACACCAGUAGCGAAGGCGACACUCUGGGCCGGUACUGGACGCUGAGGA